rnacentral:rRNA from 1 species
UACAGAGGGGGCAAGCGUUGUUCGGAAUUACUGGGCGGAAAGGGCGCGUAGGCGGCCUUCUAAGUCGAACGUGAAAUCCCCGGGCUCAACCCGGGAACUGCGUCCGAUACUGGAAGGCUUGAAUCCGGGAGAGGGAUGCGGAAUUCCAGGUGUAGCGGUGAAAUGCGUAGAUAUCUGGAGGAACACCGGUGGCGAAGGCGGGUCUCUGGGCCGGAACUGACGCUAAGGAGCGAAAGCGUGGGGAGCGAACAGG